rnacentral:rRNA from 1 species
UACGUAGGGUGCAAGCGUUGUCCGGAAUUAUUGGGCGUAAAGAGCUCGUAGGCGGUUUCGUCACGUCGGGAGUGAAAACUCGGAGCUUAACUCCGAGCCUGCUUUCCGAUACGGGCAGACUGAGGUGAGCAGGGGAGAGCGGAACUCCUGGUGUAGCGGUGGAAUGCGCAGAUAUCAGGAAGAACACCGGUGGCGAAGGCGGCUCUCUGGGCCUUACCUGACGCUGAGGAGCGAAAGCGUGGGUAGCGAACAGG